rnacentral:rRNA from 1 species
GAUGAACGCUGGCGGCGUGCCUAAUACAUGCAAGUCGAGCGAACGGACGAGAAGCUUGCUUCUCUGAUGUUAGCGGCGGACGGGUGAGUAACACGUGGAUAACCUACCUAUAAGACUGGGAUAACUUCGGGAAACCGGAGCUAAUACCGGAUAAUAUUUUGAACCGCAUGGUUCAAAAGUGAAAGACGGUCUUGCUGUCACUUAUAGAUGGAUCCGCGCUGCAUUAGCUAGUUGGUAAGGUAACGGCUUACCAAGGCAACGAUGCAUAGCCGACCUGAGAGGGUGAUCGUCCACACUGGAACUGAGACACGGUCCAGACUCCUACGGGAGGCAGCAGUCGGGAAUCUUCCGCAAUGGGCGAAAGCCUGACGGAGCAACGCCGCGUGAGUGAUGAAGGUCUUCGGAUCGUAAACCUCUGUUAUUAGGGAAGAACAUAUGUGUAAGUAACUGUGCACAUCUUGACGGUACCUAAUCAGAAAGCCACGGCUAACUACGUG